rnacentral:miRNA from 1 species
AUUCCUUCCGGUCAUUGAGACUGUACAAUCUCGAUGGCCGGAAGGGAUUCCUUCCGGUCAUCGAGACUGUACAGUCUCGAUGACUGGAGGGAAU